ACUUGGUGAUGUGGGCAUUUACGCAAGAGGUCUCUAAAGCGCUCCCAUGUCUCAAAAAAUUGUUCCCUAUCCAAUUGUGAGAAAUUGGUGAUUGCACUUCUCAGCU